rnacentral:tRNA from 1 species
GAGGGUGUAGCUCAAUGGUAGAGCAUGUGUUUAGCAUGCCUGAGGUCCUGGGUUCAAUCCCCAGUACCUCCA